rnacentral:rRNA from 1 species
UCCUUCCUGAAAUUGGGUGAGACUACCCGCUGAAUUUAAGCAUAUAAUUAAGCGGUGGAAAAGAAAAUAACUAUGAUUCU